GACGAACGCUGGCGGCGUGCUUAACACAUGCAAGUCGAACGGAAAGGCCCCUUCGGGGGUACUCGAGUGGCGAACAGGUGAGUAACACGUGAGUAACCUGCCCUUGACUUCGGGAUAACUUCAGGAAACUGGGGCUAAUACCGGAUAGGAAUCCUUGCUGCAUGGUGGGGGUUGGAAAGCUUCGGCGGUUUUGGAUGGACUCGCGGCUUAUCAGCUGGUUGGUGGGGUAGUGGCUUACCAAGGCUUUGACGGGUAGCCGGCCUGAGAGGGCGACCGGCCACAUUGGGACUGAGAUACGGCCCAGACUCCUACGGGAGGCAGCAGUGGGGAAUAUUGCACAAUGGGCGGAAGCCUGAUGCAGCAACGCCGCGUGCGGGAUGACGGCCUUCGGGUUGUAAACCGCUUUCAGCAGGGGCGAAGCUUGUGGUGACGGUACCUGCAGAAGAAGCACCGGCUAACUACGUG
rnacentral:rRNA from 1 species